rnacentral:lncRNA from 1 species
AUGUCGCGUGCCGAGGACCGCCAGAACAUCACUCAACCAGUCUCCAGGCUUCUGUCGAUUGCUCACACCCCCAAUAGGAAUUCAUUUAUCUGUCAUAACUCUUUGCUUCAUAUGUGUCCAAUUAAUGCAUUUGACAACCCCCCUAAAGCAAGAAGAAAACAAGAAAAAACAAACACCAAUAAAACUCUGAUUCUUUUUCUCUCUCCCUCUCUCUCUCUUAACACUGUUUGGCUCCAAACGAACAACAAAGCUUUUCAUGGUGGCCUACGUCAUUUGGUUACAUUAACUCUAUGGUGGUUUUGAUUGAAUG